rnacentral:rRNA from 1 species
AUUGAACGCUGGCGGCAUGCCUUACACAUGCAAGUCGAACGGUAACGGGCCUUCGGGUGCCGACGAGUGGCGAACGGGUGAGUAAUGCAUCGGAACGUACCUUUCAGUGGGGGAUAACGUAGCGAAAGUUACGCUAAUACCGCAUAUUCUGUGAGCAGGAAAGCAGGGGAUCGCAAGACCUUGCGCUGAUUGCGCGGCCGAUGUCAGAUUAGCUAGUUGGUGAGGUAAAGGCUCACCAAGGCGACGAUCUGCAGCGGGUCUGAGAGGAUGGUCCGCCACACUGGAACUGAGACACGGUCCAGACUCCUACGGGAGGCAGCAGUGGGGAAUUUUGGACAAUGGGGGCAACCCUGAUCCAGCCAUGCCGCGUGAGUGAAGAAGGCCUUCGGGUUGUAAAGCUCUUUCGGCCGGGAAGAAAUCGCACGGGCUAAUACCCUGUGUGGAUGACGGUACCGGAAUAAGAAGCACCGGCUAACUACGUGCCAGCCGCCGCUGUAAUAC